ACGUAGUGAAUAAUGAAAGGACACAAUCGUUUUGUAUGUGUAUGCCUUUAGCAUUUGUUGUAUAAUGUUAAAAAGGUCAUAUGAGGAGGUUGUUUUCAUAUUUAAUUUUUCAUUCACUUCCAGGGAUAGGAUUGGCAUGGAAGAUGCAGCACUCUUUACAUUUUAAAUGUAUGUUGCCAUCCUAGAAGUCAAAGUCUUUUUACAUGUGACAUUAACAUGUACAUAUUUAUUUUUUCUAUUUUGUUGUUCUGUUAUUCUAUUGUUUGAUUUUUUUGUUUCAGAUCAAAUGUAUAUCAAGUGUUAUCCAUGCUCAUAACACCUCCACAAAUAGAGACUGGAUCUUCUGUGCACCAUCAUCUUGUCUGCUUUGGGACUGUCAAAGCCCAGCAAUCAGAUGCAUCAGAACAACAAAGCACAACUGUGGUGGCCCAGGAACCUUCAGCAACAAGUACAUUGCUUUAACAUUAAUGAUAAUGCAAUGUCAGUAUUGUAAUUAAACUUGACCCAUCUGACGUAAUUGUUCAUGCCAGAGAUUUAACAACAUUGUCAGUCAGGAGCAUAUUUAACUAACAGGAGGCACACUUCAGCUGGCUUGAUAGUGACUUCAGUGCAGUGAAGAUAUUUAAAGAGACACUAUCACAUAAAGUACAGAAAGCCUUACAUCAUCUCUAGGUGCAGUCGCCUACAGUGCAGCCAGCUUCACAAAGACUGUGGGGCUG